GGAAGGGUACAGCUCAGUGGUAGAGUGUGUGCCUCACAUGCAUAAGGUCCUGGGUUCGAUCCCCAGUACCUCCA
rfam:Camelus ferus unplaced genomic scaffold scaffold2524, whole genome shotgun sequence.